CUACAUUUUCUUCACUCCCACUGUUAAAGAGGAUCGAAGGCUGCUCCUUCGGGAAAUUGAGCAAACUCCCUCAUCUCCCUCUUUGUCUUAACAUCUCUCUACUCACACACACACAACGUCAUCUCUCUUCUAUGCAUUGUUGUCGCAGUCGGCUUUCCGGCAGCUUCCGUCGCCGGUUUCCGACAUGUCUUCCCUUUGAGUGAUAUUGACACGAGCAAAGAGAAGGUGGAAGAACAAAGUGAUCCAGGAAAGCAAUAUGGAUUUCGAGACUAGGUGAACCAGGCUAGCUCUUUCGUUUUAUAGCUGCACAAGCUGGGUCACUAGUCACUAGCCAAAGUUUUGCAUUUUGGGUAAUCCUUUUGGGGCUUGCUAAAUGUGGCACAUUUUGGAAGUGUAAUGAACUGUAGACGUUAACAUAACUUCCUAAUCUUUUGCUAAACUUGUAUAUUUUGCGAAUAGUACAGGUUGUGUGUAUGUAAAAAUGUAUAUAAUGAUUUUUGGAAACAGAUUGAUGAUUUAAGACUAGAUGUCAUAUAAUGUUUUUCUU